rnacentral:tmRNA from 1 species
GGGGAUGUCCUGGAUUUGAUUGGGGAUUUAGGAUAUGGGAGCAAGCCGAGAUUGCCGGAUUCUCGUAAAACGCCAGCAAAAACAUAAAUGCUGAUUCAAACGAAUUAGUAGGUGUGCCAGCAAUGGCCACUGUCGCAGCCUAAGCUUAUACUUGGUCUGCGGGACUUUUGAUCUUCCGCCCGGAGAAGAUUAAAAAGUCUUAUACAACCGGGAUGAGGAGUUUUGGAGCUGGUUCGACCAAGAUUUCCGAGGGACAACAAAACCAAAUAAAGAAUCUAUGAGGGGUUUAGGGUUUGUUAACUACCUUACCUUCUGAAGUAAAGUUAGCUAAAGCUUGUACACUUCUGUAUUUCUGGUCUUCAAGACGCGGGUUCGAUUCCCGCCAUCUCCACCA